rnacentral:tRNA from 1 species
GGCCUCGUAGCUCAGCUGGUAGAGCAUGCGCGUACAAAGCGUAGGCGGCGUCCAUGUGUGGGUUCGAAUCCCACCGAGGCUA